CCAGGACCAUGAUGGACAGGCUAAAGUCCAGUAGGUUUCUUUGACCUCGAAGAUGAAGGUUUGUUAUCCUCCUAGAAGAAGUCAAACCUAUUAAGGAGAACAAUAUGCUGCCAUACAGUAAGCAUAAUGGCCAUACAGGAACCAAAUGACAAUACCGCCAAGAUCAAUGCAGUCAGAAAGAGAUUACGUCUGUCACAUGAAUCAAGUUCAACAUGUGUAAAUUUGACAUAUUGUACAUCAGACGGGCUUAUUCAGCACUGCCAGUAUUGGAACAGCAGCCAAGCAGACAACACAGUGGAAGGGCAAUGGACUCAGGGUUGAUCAGUUGGCAGAAUGUGGGUUCCCAGCCUCCCAGCUGUCUUUUUGACCAAUAGGGGGCGUUCAGAGAAUCCACAUUGAGUCACAGGGGGAUCAGGCUGCCUACAUUAUGCCAAGUGAAUGCCCAGCUGUGUGCCCUACUAUCCCUUCCCUUUUAUUACACAUUCAACAGUACUGCCGUAGAAGUCCUUUCGAUUCAACAUACAAGAAAUGCCAUCAUUUUGCAUUGUAAAUGUUUUCAAUAUUAAAAUACAUAUUUAAAAAAAAAAACUAUUUUUCCA